AUGUAACUCAGAAGAUGAAUUUUGGGUGGAGAGUCUGAAAGAUAAGAGGGCUUCUCAAAUAGGCAUGAUAAGCCCUGAAAAAAAUGGGCAGCAGUUUUGAUCACAGUCAAGAGAUUUUUCUAACUCAAAAGCCCCUCUUUUUUCCCCUCUAAAAUCAGGGCUUAUUCCCAAUAGUCACAGUAGUCACUGCAGUUAUUUGUCUUUAGCAACUCCCAAAUAUGUCAGGGGUGGAAGUGGAGAAGGAAUUCACCAUUUCAGUGAUUCUGCAGAAGUUGGGCAGAGAUCUUAAGUGGAGAAACAGUUUGAUGGUACAGCCAUCUUCCUCAGAGCAACUUCAGAUUCUCCCAGGGAAUCAGAAGCCAUAUGGGCACCCAAGAGGAAGCAGUCAGGCAGAAGAUUUCUUUAUUUCUUCAGCCGUAGCCACCUCCUUGCUUUUCAGAAAGAGAAGAUUUGGAUGAACAGCCUCUGGGUUUGAGUUUGCCUGGAAGAAGUAGGUCAUGGCUGAAAGGGGCUUAGAGUAUAUUUUGUAACAUGCUGAAUGCUGGUGAUGAAACUCAUGUGACUCCUAAAAAUGUUUUGGAGACUGUGAGCCUUAUAGAAGACAAAAAUGAAGACUCAGGCCUUUGGAUCAGAGUAGUCUCCUUCGUGGCGGCUGGAGAAGAGGACAGAGACGCCCAUGGCUUGUCCCUCGCUGUCAGGACUGGGCAUUCCUCACUGGAUGGUUCCUGCAGCACACUUGUACAGAGCUUGUGCCUGUUGCUGCUGCCCUCCGGAGUACCACCUGAGGAUCGAGCCAGCAGAAGAUAUCUAAGGAAGUGGGCUCCUGACUAGCCUGACAUCUCAGAGUUCCUGAGGCGCAUAUGCAGAAGGAAAACCUGAAGUCUAGGGAGUAUGGAUGUCUCAUGAGAAAGUCAGCUGACAAAGCCACUGGCCAGAUGGUAAGGGGGUUUUUCACAGUUCUGGAGAGAGAAGGAGGCUCUAACUUUUGCCACUGCUCAUGACUGUUCUCAAUAAAACAAAAUCUGUUUGGAAUUAUUCCCAGAAUACCACUAAAAUUAGUUCUUUCUGUCUUUACUUCUGGUCAUCUUCUCUUAUAGGGUAUGCAUUUUGCAGAACCCACUUCUCUAUGUCCCUAUUCAGUUGUAAUUGAGGGAUGGGAGGAAGGAACAUAGGUUGGGAUAAGAGGUAUUUUCUUGAAACAUUUUGGGAAGUCUUUUUCUCCAGUAUUGCCAUUAAAGUCACAUUGGGUUGUCAACUCUGGGCCCUUACCUAAAGCUUCAGCUCCAAUUUUUUUUUUUUCUCUGCUCUUUCAUUAAAUGUGAGGCAGCACAAUGCAGAGGAAAAGCACAGGGAAGAGAAGCAGAAGAGCUGGCUCCUAGCUCUCUUUUACGAGCUAGCUCUGGGAUCACAGGCAAGUCACUUUUCCUAGUCUUAUUUCUCCACCUGUUAAAUGGGUUGGCUUGACAUGACAGUGGUCUUCAGGUUCAUUUGAGUUCUGAGCCUCCGUAAUUAUGAUUCUAUGACUCAGCAUCAAUGGAGCUCCCACUUGUGGAAGUCAAAGGUGGAUCUACAUCUACUACUCAUGUAUCCACCUCCCCAUUUCCCUGACUGACUUUAUGCUUCACGUUCGUUACCUGUUUGGGUGUCUUUCUCAUCUUGGUUUGGCAACCCUUUCAUCAAGAUGUCCCAGAAUGUGUGUCAUUGGAUGUCACUUAUUCUCUGAUCCUUCCAUUCAUUCAUCCAACAUUUAGGCACCUAUUUGUGCAAGGUGAGGCAGCUCCAUCUUUCUAAGCUUUCCUGUUAGGUAGGAAGGAAGUGCAAUCCAGGCUUUUCAAAUCAUUGUCAGAGAAUGUCUGAGUUGGAAGGACAUUUAGAAACCAUGAUUCAAUAGCCUUCCUUUCACAAACAAGGAAACAAAAG
rnacentral:lncRNA from 10 species